GAAGCUGACCAGACAGUCGCCGCUUCGUCGUCGUCCUCCUUCGGGGGGAGACGGGCGGAGGGGAGGAAAGUCCGGGCUCCAUAGGGCAAGGUGCCAGGUAACGCCUGGGGGGUGUCACAGCCCACGACCAGUGCAACAGAGAGCAAACCGCCGAUGGCCCGCACAAGCGGGAUCAGGUAAGGGUGAAAGGGUGCGGUAAGAGCGCACCGCGCGGCUGGUAACAGUCCGUGGCACGGUAAACUCCACCCGGAGCAAGGCCAAAUAGGGGUUCAUAAGGUACGGCCCGUACUGAACCCGGGUAGGCUGCUUGAGCCAGUGAGCGAUUGCUGGCCUAGAUGAAUGACUGUCCACGACAGAACCCGGCUUAUCGGUCAGUUUCACUC
rnacentral:RNase_P_RNA from 1 species